rnacentral:rRNA from 1 species
GCUUCUCUGAUGUUAGCGGCGGACGGGUGAGUAACACGUGGAUAACCUACCUAUAAGACUGGGAUAACUUCGGGAAACCGGAGCUAAUACCGGAUAAUAUUUUGAACCGCAUGGUUCAAAAGUGAAAGACGGUCUUGCUGUCACUUAUAGAUGGAUCCGCGCUGCAUUAGCUAGUUGGUAAGGUAACGGCUUACCAAGGCAACGAUGCAUAGCCGACCUGAGAGGGUGAUCGGCCACACUGGAACUGAGACACGGUCCAGACUCCUACGGGAGGCAGCAGUAGGGAAUCUUCCGCAAUGGGCGAAAGCCUGACGGAGCAACGCCGCGUGAGUGAUGAAGGUCUUCGGAUCGUAAAACUCUGUUAUUAGGGAAGAACAUAUGUGUAAGUAACUGUGCACAUCUUGACGGUACCUAAUCAGAAAGCCACGGCUAACUACGUGCCAGCAGCCGCGGUAAUACGUAGGUGGCAAGCGUUAUCCGGAAUUAUUGGGCGUAAAGCGCGCGUAGGCGGUUUUUUAAGUCUGAUGUGAAAGCCCACGGCUCAACCGUGGAGGGUCAUUGGAAACUGGAAAACUUGAGUGCAGAAGAGGAAAGUGGAAUUCCAUGUGUAGCGGUGAAAUGCGCAGAGAUAUGGAGGAACACCAGUGGCGAAGGCGACUUUCUGGUCUGUAACUGACGCUGAUGUGCGAAAGCGUGGGGAUCAAACAGGAUUAGAUACCCUGGUAGUCCACGCCGUAAACGAUGAGUGCUAAGUGUUAGGGGGUUUCCGCCCCUUAGUGCUGCAGCUAACGCAUUAAGCACUCCGCCUGGGGAGUACGACCGCAAGGUUGAAACUCAAAGGAAUUGACGGGGACCCGCACAAGCGGUGGAGCAUGUGGUUUAAUUCGAAGCAACGCGAAGAACCUUACCAAAUCUUGACAUCCUUUGACAACUCUAGAGAUAGAGCCUUCCCCUUCGGGGGACAAAGUGACAGGUGGUGCAUGGUUGUCGUCAGCUCGUGUCGUGAGAUGUUGGGUUAAGUCCCGCAACGAGCGCAACCCUUAAGCUUAGUUGCCAUCAUUAAGUUGGGCACUCUAAGUUGACUGCCGGUGACAAACCGGAGGAAGGUGGGGAUGACGUCAAAUCAUCAUGCCCCUUAUGAUUUGGGCUACACACGUGC